rnacentral:lncRNA from 1 species
UUCAGAUUUUUAGUCUCAUUUGAGACCCAUUUUCGACAUAGGAAACAUUCGAUUUGGAAAAUGAUAUCUAAAUAAAAGUUGUAGCUCUUUGAGUUAGCUUUCCAACGCACUUUGAAUUACCUCAAUCAGAUAUCGAGAGAAGUUAUGAUAGAAACACUGAAGGCUGUGCAGUGUCAACCGAACGAAUUUCUGCCUCAUACAGCUCGGGCCGAAGACCGGGGGAAGUUUAGGAGAGAUGGGGAAAGCUAGCAACUGCCGGUCGGGGCGGGGAUAACUUGCUUGAAUGUGGCACAAAAAGAAGAAGAGGCGAAGGAACCCGCGGAGAAGCUUCAUGGCCUGGAUUUUUUGAGUAGCUAAUUCAUAUCUAGGUAGGCGAAGGAAACAAGACAUUACAUUGAUUGUCUGGUCCAGGUCGAUCAAUGGACCGAAACUGCCUGAAAUGAAAAUUCUCGUUUUUCUCUAGAAUUUAAAUAAUUAUUUUCUCAAAGAGCCACCCACGUUUUUGGCAAUAAAAACCCCCACUAAAUUGAAGCAUUUAAUCUCAAACUUAAAUGGCACCCAUGUUUUCUCUCUUAAAUGAAAUUUGACCCUUCAUUUGCUUUAAGUUAUGGGAUAUUUACCUAUAAAUAGAGACCUCAUUUCACUCAUUUUUUCUCACAUCAAAAGUAAGAGCUUUUACAUACUAAAAAAAGAGUUUCCAAGAGAGGAAAAGAGGAAGGAAAACUAUUUUUUCUAGAAGUUUAAGAAGUGUUUUCAAGUAUUUUUCAUAGAAGUUUUGGGUGCUAUCAAGGAGUGUCUUCAAGCAUCAAUUCUUAACGGUUUUCAAACAUCCAAGGAGUGCAUUUCUUUCAACGUCCAAGUUUCAUCCAAGUUUUCAAUCCAAGUUUUUAAAGUUUCAAAAGCAUCAAUCAAGGUAGGUAGAGGUGCAAUGUGUUUAAUCGUGUUAGGUUAUAAGUUUCGAUUCAUGUUAAUGUUUGUAUGUCAAAUGGUACUCCGGUACGGCAUAUCCCUCUAUGUUAAUGGUUGUAUGUCAAAUGGUACUCCGGUACGGCAUAUCCCUCUAUGUUAAUGGUUGUAUGUAAAAUGGUACUCUGGUACGGCAUACCCCUCUAUGUUGAAGAAAUGUUCGUAUGUCAAACGGUGCCCUCGGAUACAGCAUACCCCUUCAUGUCAAAUGGUACCUCCGGAUAUGGCAUGUAUGAAAAGUUAUAAAGUUAAUGUUUUGAAAUGUAUAGCUUAAUCACGAAUGCACCUACACUUAUUGAGUUUUUCAACCCACGGGUUUAAUCUCAUCUCUACAGAUUGAAGGAAUUCUACCUCGGGCAUGGAUGGAAGAGAAGAUGGAGAGUGAUGCAACAAGCCCAUGAAAAUCCGGUAAAUAAGUGAUUUGGAUUUAUUUUUAUGAAAUAUUUUCCAAUGUUAUUUCUUUAAAAUUUUGAAUAACGCAGAAUACGAGAACAAGUUAUGUUUUUUUCAAAUAAAUUACAUUUUGUUGUUUUGAAAAAUGAUUCAAUAUUUUUGUUUAAAGUAUUCGAAAGCUUCCGCUAAAACGUAUACACUUGUUACUAACCCAUCAGUUAAACUAAGUAAAGUAAGUAGCGUUUCGGUCCACUAGCGGUCGAAGCGUUACAGCGUGGUAUCAAAGCAAGGUUUAGCCGAUUUUGUAAACCAAGUCUGUUUUUUUUUUAAAAAAACAAAAGGAAAAUGAAAAGUUUAAGGUAUUCCAUGGCAUCAUGCAUCCAUCCAUCAAUCUCAUCCUAUGGCCCAGGUAUGUUCAUGUUUAAAGUUAAUGAUUAUGUUUAUGUUAUGAUAUUUUGAUAUGAUUUAGAGAUGUGUUAUUUAAAUAUAUGUAAUGGACUUGGGCAAAAGCUAAGGCUUAAAGGGAAUUGCAUGAUAUGAAUGUUUAAAUAUUUGCAUGUUUUCUUUAAGCAAAGAAAAAGUAUGAUGUAUGUGAAAAUGCAACAUAUAUGGCUCGUAGAACGGCUAGGGCAUAUAGAGAAGCAUUGAACUGUAGAAUUGCUAUCCAUUCUUAUGAAAACUAUGUAACUGAUCCGACCCAACCGCUUAGCAAACAUGUGUAUGACAUCUAUGAGAGAUGCAUGACGGCGGUUAAUGCUGGUAUGGAGAUCACGCAUAUUGAGGCCAUAAAUAACCUCAUACACUCCCUCCCACCUCAAUGGGAAGAUAUGGGAGUCACGGUUAGAAAUGAAAUGUUAGAAGGCAACCUAAACCUAUUCGAGUUUGAGAGGUAUUGCCAUGCCCUGAUGGAUUUGUGGGAUGAUGUAAUCCAUGAGGAGCCUGAGGUGGAACCUUUGGCUGAGGAAGAAGAUCCCGAAGAAGAACCCAAGGAUGAUUUAGAGAAUGAUCUUGAGUCUGAGCCACAGGUUGAGAUGGAUAUAGAGUCCGGACCUGAGGCAGAAGACUCCUCCGAAGAUGAAGCUCCACCAAAGAAGAUCCGUAGAACUUAUAGGGAUUAGAUUUAAAUCCUUAUAAUAGUUUCCCUUAUGUGAAGAAAUAAAAUACUAUCUUCUUUGUUUUAGUAUUCGAAGAAUGAAACUAAUAAGACCCAUAUGUUUUGUUUAAAGGAAAUGGCCCGCGCAAACCAAAACUUGAUAAGAGACCUCCUCCGAGCGGUUCAAGACUUAGGCAGGCAAAACCCGAACCAAGCUCAACCCCUACCACUAGCUCCUAAUGUUCCAAACUAUGCUUCAGUGGUCGAGCAAUUUCGAAGGCACAAGCCCCCUACCUUCAGCGGAGCAGCUGAUCCACUUGCAGCCGAGAAGUGGCUUCGCAAGUUGGAGCGUAUAUUCCGAUUGAUAGGGUGCACGGACGCUCAGAAAGUCCAGAGUGCUGAGUUCAUGUUCUCCGAUGAUGCAAGUCACUGGUGGGACUCAAUGUCAAGGACAAGGACCCUUGAGCAACAAGCAGAAUUGACUUGGAAGCAAUUCAAAGGGGAAGUAAUGGACAAGUACUUUCCCCAGUCCUUGAGGGAUCACAAAGAAAGUGAAUUCCUCCAACUCAAGCAAAAGACUAUGUCCCUGACUAAGUAUGAGAGGAAGUUUGAUCAACUUUCAAGGUAUGCUCCGCAUCUGGUGGAUACGGAAGAUAAGAAGGUACGAAGGUUUGAACAAGGGCUGAACUCGGAUAUAAGCAUGAUACUUAUGUCCCAUCGCUUCACCACAUACCAUGAAAUGCUGGAAAGAACUCAUGCUAUUUGGUACCAAAAGACUAGCACCGAACAACAUGGUCAACUGUUUAAUCAACCAGACAAUGGUAACAUGGGAAAGAGGAAAUGGAAUGGCCAGGACAAGGGAAAAGGCAAGUGGCAGAACAAGAAAGCUAAUGGUGGAGCCAAUGCCAACAAAAGCAUUGUGCCAAUUAUUGCGCCCUGUUCUAAGUGUGGAAGGACACAUCGUGGCGAGUGCUUACAAGGGAAAAAUGUCUGUUUCCGAUGUGGCAAGCCAAGACAUAUCAUUAGGGAUUGUCCCACAUACCCAGAAGAAGGAUGAUAACAGCAACCAGAACCAGAAAGGGAAAGCACUAGUUUUUGCAUUGACUCAACAGAAUGCAGAGGAAAACUCUAAUGUCAUAGCAUAUACUCUACUAAUAGCCAAUACACCUGCUUAUGUAUUGUUUGAUUCAGGAGCUACACACUCCUUUGUUUCAACAACUUUUAUGGCUAAAUCUAGUAUUACCUGUGAUAAGUCGGAAGGUACAUUAGAAGUUAGUAUUCCUUCGGGCAACCCUUUGACUACUGUUAGAAUAGCCAAGUCAGUAAGUAUCGAAGUUGAGGGAAAACCAAUGGAAGCGAACCUAUACUUGAUAGAAAUGAAGGAUUUUGAUGUAAUACUAGGCAUGGAUUGGUUAGGUUGUAAUUACGCCACCAUCCAUUGUAAGGAAAUGGAAGUAUCAUUUCAGAAAUCAGGAGGGGAACCAUUUUCGUUCCUUGGAAUGAAGACGAAACCCCUUAUUCGACUAGCAUCGACUUUACAAGCUGAGAAGAUGUUGAGAAAAGAAACAUGUCAAGGAUACCUAGUAAGUAUCUCAGGAGUAAAAUAAGAGACGAUAAGGGUUGAAGAUGUACCAGUAGUACGGGAAUUCGUAGAUGCGUUUCCAGAAGAUCUAUCUGGUAUUCCACCCGAUAGACAAGUGGAAUUCACCAUAGACCCAAUUCCCGGGGCGGCACCAGUAUCUAAGGCUCCAUACCGAAUGGCUCCAAAGGAACUACAAGAAUUAAAGAAGCAAUUGCAAGAACUCCUAGAUAUGGGCUUCAUACGACCAAGCGUAUCUCCAUGGGGUGCGCCGGUGUUGUUUGUAAAGAAGAAAGAUGGAAACAUGAGGAUAUACAUCGAUUAUAGGGAGAGAAAUCGAUUAACCAUCAAGAAUAAGUACCCACUCUCGAGGAUCAAGGAUCUGUUAGAUCAACUGAAAGGAGCUAAGGUAUUUUCCAAGAUCGACUUACGAUCGGGAUACCAUCAACUGAAAGUAGAGACAAAAGAUAUACCUAAGACAGCUUUUAGAACUCGAUAUGGACACUACGAGUUUACGGUGAUGUCGUUUGGGCUAACCAAUGCACCUGCAGUGUCCAUGGACCUGAUGAAUCGAGUGUUUCAUCAAUACUUGGAUAAGUUUGCCAUAGUCUUCAUCGAUGACAUUCUGAUAUAUUCCAAGAGUAAGGAGUAACAUGAAGAACACUUGAGAAUAGCCUUAGAGGUAUUACGCAAGGAGAAGCUGUAUGCCAAAUUCAAGAAGUGCGAGUUUUGGCUUGAACGAGUUGGAUUUCUUGGACAUGUAGUUACUGCCCAAGGGAUUGAAGUAGAUCCAGCAAAAGUAGAAGCAGUAACCAACUGAAAAGCACCAACAAAUGCUAGCGAAGUACGGAAUUUUCUAGGAUUGGCUGCAUAUUAUAGGAGAUUCAUAGAAGGAUUUUCCAAAAUAGCUGGACCAAUGACGCAGCUUACAAGGAAGGGAGUAAAAUCCCAAUGGACGGAAAAAUGCGAACAAAGUUUUCAAAAACUUAAGCAGAAGUUGAUAUCAGUACCUGUAUUAACAAUACCUGAAGGUAUGGAAGGGUUUGUUAUAUACAACGACGCAUCCAAGCGAGGAUUGGGAUGUGUACUAAUGUAGAAUGAAAAAGUGAUAGCCUAUGCUUCAAGACAAUUGAAGAAACAUGAGCAGAACUACCCAACACAUGAUUUAGAACUUGCAGCGGUAGUACACGCUUUGAAGAUAUGGCGACACUAGUAUGGACGGAAGUGUGAUAUCUACACAGAUCACAAAAGUCUCAAGUAUAUCUUUAUACAGAAGGAAUUGAAUAUGCGACAAAGACGAUGGUUGGAAUUAGUGAACGAUUACGACUGCACUAUUCACUACCAUCCAGGUAAGGCUAAUGUUGUGGCCGACGCUCUAAGUAGAAAAUCAAUGGGACAAUUGACAUCACUACCCACCUCUCAAGUGGAGUUAGUCAAGGACUUGGAAAAGUUGCAGAUCAAAGUGGUUACCACACCAGGACAAGUCACUGCUCGUCUAACAGCUUUAAUAAUUCGACCUACUCUUAGAGAUCGAAUUAUAGAAGCACAAAAUAAAGACUCAUUUUUGCAAAAGAUUAAGAAUGAAAUUAGUACCGAUAAGAAAAAGGACUUUGGAGUAGCUAAGGAUCAUGCACUGAUAUUUAGAGGAAGAAUUUGCGUGCCUAAGGAUGAAGCCUUGAAAAACGAGAUAUUGAAAGAAGCUCAUUCCACCCCGUACACCGCACAUCCCGGUGAUACGAAAAUGUAUCGAGAUUUUGGAGAUAUAUUUUGAUGGAAAAAUAUGAAAAGAAGUAUAGGGCUGUACGUGCAGAAGUGCAUGGUAUGUCAAUAGGUUAAGGCAGAACACUAAAAACCAGCUGGAUUGUUAAAUCCACCAGAUAUACCUGAAUGGAAAUAGGAAAAUAUCACGAUGGACUUUGUGGUUGGAUUCCCGAAGUCAGCAAGAGGAAAUAAUGCUAUAUGGGUAGUAGUAGAUCGACUAACGAAGUCAUCUCAUUUUCUUCCAGUGAAAACGACAUUCAGUUUAGACCAAUUGGCACAGUUGUAUAUUAAAGAGGUUGUGAGAUUACACGGUGUACCUGUAUCCAUUGUGUCUGACAGAGACCCAAGGUUCACGUCCAAAUUUUGGAAGUCUACAAGGAGCUAUGGGAACGAAGCUGAACUUUAGUACGGCAUAUCACCCUCAGUCCGAUGGUCAGUCUGAAAGGACCAUCCAAACUUUGGAAGACAUGCUAAGAACAUGUGUUUUGGAUCUAAGGGAUAAUUGGGAAUCAUACUUACCUCUAGUAGAGUUCACUUAUAAUAACAGUUUCCAAACAACUAUUGGAAUGGCACCAUACGAAUCUCUCUAUGGUAGAAGAUGUAGAUCCCCUGUUCAUUGGGAUGAAGUUGGAGAGAAGAAAGUUUUAGGACCAGAAAUAAUUGAAAGGACAGUCCAGGUAAUCGAUAAGAUUCGUGCAAGAAUAAAGGCAGCACAGGAUCGACAAAAGAGCUAUGCAGAUACAAGGAGGAAGGAUUUAGAAUUCCAAGUUGAGGAUAAAGUGUUUCUGAAAGUAGCACUAAUGAAAGGUGUACUUAGAUUUGGAAAGAAAGACAACCUACGACCCCGGUAUAUCGGACCUUUUGAGAUACUUGAUAGAGUCGGAAAUGUGGCUUGCCGACUAGCUUUGCCACCUGAAUUAUCGGCAGUGCACAAUGUGUUCUAUAUAUCGAUGAUAAAGAAGUAUGUACAUGAUUCUAAUCAUGUAGUGAGUUAUCAAACUUUGGAGGUACAGAAAGAUUUGUCGUACGAGAAACUACCGAUCAAGAUAUUGGAUCGAAAAGUGCAUAAACUAAGGAAUAAAGAGAUUCAUCUGGUUAAGUUACAUUGGAAUCAUCACGGCGUAGAAGAAGCCACUUGGGAAAAAGAAGAAGCCUAAGACAAGUAUCCAACACUAUUCGUCCAAUCAGAAGGUAAAUUUCGAGGACGAAAUUUUAAUUAAGGUGUGGGGGAUGUAGAACCCCAAAUAAUUCUAGGCACCUUAGUGGCACUAAGACAUGAAUAUUGGAUGACUAAAGUAUACUUCAGAUUUUUAGUCUCAUUUGAGAUUCAUUUUCGACAUAGGAAACAUUCGAUUUGAAAAAUGAUAUCUAAAUAAAAGUUGUAACUCUUUGAGUUAGGUUUCCAACGUACUUUGAAUUACCUUAAUCGGAUAUCGGGAGAAGAAGUUAUGAUAGAAACACUGAAAGCUGUGCAGCGUCAACCAGACUACAACCGGUCGACCGAAACUGCCUGAAAUGAAAAUUCUCGUUUUUCUCU